rnacentral:pre_miRNA from 1 species
AAAAAGACAAACCCUGAAUUUCCGUGUUCAAUAUUUGACUGUUCGUCUUAGUCUUAUAUGAAAUUUUUUUAUAAUUAGUAUUUUUAUUGUUGUUAGAUGAUAAAUAUGAUUAAUACUUUAUACGUAACUUAUCUUUUUAAUUUUUUAUAUAUUUUUUAUAUAAGACGGGCGGUUAAAUGUU